UACCUGCGACAGGACGGAAAGACCCCAUGGAGCUUUACUGUAGCUUGACAUUGAAUUUUGGUGCUACAUGUACAGGAUAGGUGGGAGGCUAUGAAAUCGGGACGCCAGUCUCGGUGGAGCCAUCCUUGGGAUACCACCCUUGUAGUACUGAGAUUCUAACCAGAUACCUUGAAUCAGGUAUUGGGACACUGUCAGGUGGGCAGUUUGACUG
rnacentral:rRNA from 1 species